UACGUAGGGGGCGAGCGUUAUCCGGAUUUAUUGGGCGUAAAGCGUGUGUAGGCGGUUUAUUAAGUUUAAGAUUAAAGUCCGAGGCUUAACCUCGGUUCGUCUUAAAAACUGGUAGACUUGAGUAUAGUAGAGGCAAGUGGAAUUUCUAGUGUAGCGGUUAAAUGCGUAGAUAUUAGAAGGAACACCAGUGGCGAAGGCGGCUUGCUGGGCUAUCACUGACGCUGAGACACGAAAGCGUGGGGAGCAAAUAGG
rnacentral:rRNA from 1 species